rnacentral:ncRNA from 1 species
UAUUUUUUAAGCGCCAGGACAUAUUUUUAUAUGUUGACGAGGUCUAGAGUUAUCGAAAGAUUCGGCGGAUGCUCUAGUGGUAUAUUACUACCAAAUGUAUAUUUAAAAAGCAGCUGAGAAGCUGUAACAGAGUAUAUACAA